rnacentral:rRNA from 1 species
AACGCUAGCUACAGGCUUAACACAUGCAAGUCGAGGGGCAUCAGGAAGAAAGCUUGCUUUCUUUGCUGGCGACCGGCGCACGGGUGAGUAACACGUAUCCAACCUGCCCUUUACUCGGGGAUAGCCUUUCGAAAGAAAGAUUAAUACCCGAUAGCAUAAUGAUUCCGCAUGGUUUCAUUAUUAAAGGAUUCCGGUAAAGGAUGGGGAUGCGUUCCAUUAGGUUGUUGGUGAGGUAACGGCCCACCAAGCCUUCGAUGGAUAGGGGUUCUGAGAGGAAGGUCCCCCACAUUGGAACUGAGACACGGUCCAAACUCCUACGGGAGGCAGCAGUGAGGAAUAUUGGUCAAUGGGCGCUAGCCUGAACCAGCCAAGUAGCGUGAAGGAUGAAGGCUCUAUGGGUCGUAAACUUCUUUUAUAUAAGAAUAAAGUGCAGUAUGUAUACUGUUUUGUAUGUAUUAUAUGAAUAAGGAUCGGCUAACUCCGUGCCAGCAGCCGCGGUAAUACGGAGGAUCCGAGCGUUAUCCGGAUUUAUUGGGUUUAAAGGGAGCGUAGGUGGACUGGUAAGUCAGUUGUGAAAGUUUGCGGCUCAACCGUAAAAUUGCAGUUGAUACUGUCAGUCUUGAGUACAGUAGAGGUGGGCGGAAUUCGUGGUGUAGCGGUGAAAUGCUUAGAUAUCACGAAGAACUCCGAUUGCGAAGGCAGCUCACUGGACUGCAACUGACACUGAUGCUCGAAAGUGUGGGUAUCAAACAGGAUUAGAUACCCUGGUAGUCCACACAGUAAACGAUGAAUACUCGCUGUUUGCGAUAUACAGUAAGCGGCCAAGCGAAAGCAUUAAGUAUUCCACCUGGGGAGUACGCCGGCAACGGUGAAACUCAAAGGAAUUGACGGGGGCCCGCACAAGCGGAGGAACAUGUGGUUUAAUUCGAUGAUACGCGAGGAACCUUACCCGGGCUUAAAUUGCAGUGGAAUGAUGUGGAAACAUGUCAGUGAGCAAUCACCGCUGUGAAGGUGCUGCAUGGUUGUCGUCAGCUCGUGCCGUGAGGUGUCGGCUUAAGUGCCAUAACGAGCGCAACCCUUAUCUUUAGUUACUAACAGGUUAUGCUGAGGACUCUAGAGAGACUGCCGUCGUAAGAUGUGAGGAAGGUGGGGAUGACGUCAAAUCAGCACGGCCCUUACGUCCGGGGCUACACACGUGUUACAAUGGGGGGUACAGAAGGCAGCUAGCGGGUGACCGUAUGCUAAUCCCAAAAUCCUCUCUCAGUUCGGAUCGAAGUCUGCAACCCGACUUCGUGAAGCUGGAUUCGCUAGUAAUCGCGCAUCAGCCACGGCGCGGUGAAUACGUUCCCGGGCCUUGUACACACCGCCCGUCAAGCCAUGGGAGCCGGGGGUACCUGAAGUACGUAACCGCAAGGAUCGUCCUAGGGUAAAACUGGUGACUGGGGCUAAG